GUUUUAGUAUGUGUGUGUGUUAGUAUGUCUGUGUCAAUAUGUCUGUGUGUGUCUAUGACAGACAUACUGACAUACACACACAGACACACUGACAUACACACACACA